CCUACGGGCGGCAGCAGUGAGGAAUAUUGGUCAAUGGACGCAAGUCUGAACCAGCCAUGCCGCGUGCAGGAUGACGGCUCUAUGAGUUGUAAACUGCUUUUGUACGAGGGUAAACCCCGAUACGUGUAUCGGGUUGAAAGUAUCGUACGAAUAAGGAUCGGCUAACUCCGUGCCAGCAGCCGCGGUAAUACGGAGGAUCCGAGCGUUAUCCGGAUUUAUUGGGUUUUAAGGGUGCGUAGGCGGUUUGAUAAGUUAGAGGUGAAAUGUCGGGGCUCAACCCCGAAACUGCCUCUAAUACUGGUAGACUAGAGAAUAGUUGCGGUAGGCGGAAUGUAUGGUGUAGCGGUGAAAUGCUUAGAGAUCAUACAGAACACCGAUUGCGAAGGCAGCUUACCAAACUAUAUCUGACGUUGAGGCGCGAAAGCGUGGGUAGCAAACAGGAUUAGAUACCCGUGUAGUC
rnacentral:rRNA from 1 species